GGACAACAAUUGGAAACGAUUGCUAAUACCCCAUAUGCUUUCGAGUGAAAUGGAUUUUUCCGCCUAAAGAGAAGCUUGCGGCUGAUUAGCUUGUUGGUAAGGUAAUGGCUUACCAAGGCGACGAUCAGUAUCUGGUUUGAGAGGACGAUCAGACACACUGGAACUGAGACACGGUCCAGACUCCUACGGGAGGCAGCAGUGGGGAAUUUUCCGCAAUGGGCGAAAGCCUGACGGAGCAAUCUCGCGUGAGGGAUGACGGCCUAUGGGUUGUAAACCUCUUUUUUCAGGGAGGAAUAAAAUGACGUGUACCUGAAGAAUAAGCAUCGGCUAACUCCGUGCCAGCAGCCGCGGUAAGACGGAGGAUGCAAGUGUUAUCCGGAAUCACUGGGCGUAAAGCGUCUGUAGGUGGUUUAAUAAGUCAACUGUUAAAUCUUGAGGCUCAACCUCAAAAUCGCAGUCGAAACUAUUAGGCUAGAGUAUAGUAGGGGUAAAGGGAAUUUCCAGUGGAGCGGUGAAAUGCGUAGAGAUUGGAAAGAACACCGAUGGCGAAGGCACUUUACUGGGCUAUUACUAACACUCAGAGACGAAAGCUAGGGUAGCAAAUGGGAUUAGAUACCCCAGUAGUCCUAGCCGUAAACAAUGGAUACUAGAUGUUGAACAGAUCGACCUUGUGCAGUAUUAAAGCUAACGCGUUAAGUAUCCCGCCUGGGAAGUAUGCUCGCAAGAGUUGAAAUUCAAAGGAAUUUGACGGGGGCCCGCACAAGCGGUGGGAGCCAUGUGGUUUAAUUCGAUGCCACGGCGAAGGAAACCUUAACCAGGGGUUUGGACAUUGAUACGAAUGUUUCUUU
rnacentral:rRNA from 1 species